CCCGUGAUAGCUCAGUUGGUAGAGCGGAGGACUGUAGUGGUCGCAUGGUUCAGGCAUCCUUAGGUCGGCGGUUCGACUCCGUCUCGCGGGA
rnacentral:tRNA from 1 species